AUGAAUUUAUGUCUUUUAGCCUCUUGGAUCAGGAGAUAUUUCCUGGAUGAGGGCAAAAUUUGGAAACAAAUUAUUGAUGCCAAGUAUAAGACUCACAGCCCUAAUAUUUUUACUUGCCCGGAAAAUGGUGCCUCCCCAUUUUGGAAAGGAAUACUACGGGCUGCUAAAGCUGCCAAUGUAGGAUAUUCCUGGAUAGUGGGGAAUGGCAAGAAUUUUAGAUUUUGGGAAGACCAGUGGCUGGGACAUACUACCCUAGCUACCCAGUAUUGGGAGCUAUACUCUAUUACCAACGACCACAAUGUUUCUGUUAGUGAGGUCUGGGAUGGCACCAAUCUAAAAAUUACUUUUAGAAGGUGUUUCACCCAUAAGCUUCUAGCAGAGUGGGACGAUUUGUUCAGCCGCCUGGCUAAUGUAAAAUUAAAUGACGUUGAAGACACCGUGCGCUGGAAUUUUGAAGCCAAAGGUGUCUUUACUGUCAAAUCUUUUUACAACUUUAUCAACUUUAGGGGGAUUGAUCCGGGCAACCUUACAAUUAUUUGGAAAAUUAACAUUCCCCUUAGGAUCCAGAUCUUUCUCUGGCUCGUGGCCAAAAACAAACUUUUAACUAGAGACAAUCUACAAAAAAGACAUCAUGUAGAUGAUGCUACCUGCCUUUUUUGUGGAGAAUUUGAAUCUAUUGAUCAUCUAUUUUUUGGCUGCGUUGUUGCGAUAGAGCUAUGGAGAGGGAUUUUUGACAUAUCUAAAAAACAAGUUGGUAUGUCCAUUGAGAACAUGCUAGCUUGGUGGUUUAAACACAAAAAUCUCUCAGCAGACUGCAUGUUACAUUCUGCUGCCCUUUGGGCUCUGUGGAAUCAUCGCAAUGACAUUUGUUUCAAACAUGUUCCCUGGCUUGGGAUGCAGGUGUUGAGGAGGAAAACUGCUGCUAUACUAAGCAGCUGGAUGGUCCGAUGCUCAAGCGGUGCAAAAGAAAGAGGGAUGUACUUGGUGAGAAAGAUGGAGCAGGAAGCGCGUGCUCCCCCCCUCCUGAUGUGGCCAGACCCUGGCUAG
rnacentral:rRNA from 1 species